rfam:Gossypium hirsutum cultivar TM-1 chromosome 2, whole genome shotgun sequence
AACCCAUGGUGAGGGUACCUUCUCUAUAGGUCCUUGUAUCUCUCCCAUGCAUCAUAAAGAGUUUCUAGAUUCAUCUGCACAAAAGAAGAGAUAUCAUUUCUCAAUUU